GCUUUCACCCCUCUGUCCAUCUCUUCCUUCCACCACUCCAUUACCAUCCCCACAUCGCUGCUGAUUUACCAUGCGGAGGCUCCAUUACCAUCCCCACAUCGCUGAUGAUUUCCCAUGCGGAGGAGGUCCUGUGACACCGAUGCCCUCACCCAGCUGCCGACGGCGGCACUUUUUGUUCGUGCCCAAGCGCCCAGUGAGGUCACCUCUCACCUCCCUUCUAUGGUGCCACCGCCCCAACCCAUACACAGCUUCCUCUUCCCCACUCCCAUGGUAGCAGAUCUGAGCAGUACAGGGUUCCUUCGGUCCUGGUGGUUCGGACUGAGGUGUGCGGCCUCUGCUCCCUUAUCUUCUGGCGACUAGGAGCAUGGUGGCUGGUGCCACAAUCUCUAUUAGCCAUCUAUGGUGGCAACGAUAUCAGGAAGCUCUCUCUUUCUCUCUCUAGUUAGUCCUAGUUUGCCAGAAGAGAAGCGAUGCCCUAUUGUUUAUGUAUGGUGAUGAUGAGUCCAUGUUGUUGUCUAACUAAUUCACUCUGUGGCGGUCCAGAUUAUAUGCUUGAGAAGAUCGACAGCGUCGACAAGAGUAUCAGCUGGUAUCUCUACAUCCUCUUCUACAACCAUUUAGGCACAACAGUGGCUGGGCUGCGGAAUGUAACUUCACCAGCGACUUGAUUUUGAAUGCUGACCACUACAAUGAAAGCAACGCAGGAGCUUGCUCUUGGAUCAAUGGGCUUGGAGAAUGAGUUUGCAAAUGUUGUAAUGCAUCAGCUUGAAGGGUUCAGUCGACACAUGGUGUGUCCGCAUUUUCCUAUCUACCUGAAGGGCCUACAUGAGCGUUGCCAAUAUCAGUGUGCUUUGUGCUGCAGAAAUGGAUAUUCAAAAACCUCUAGCACAUGAUUUCCUGGGAAUUCCUGGCUAUGUACAGUUCACCUCUCGUAUUCGAAGAUAUAUCGACCUGCUAGCUCAUGAUCAGGAAAGACAUGCAAGAGGACGAGGAACCAUGAAGCCAGUGGUUCGUGUCAAUGAGAUAUUUUAUGUAAUGGUGACUGGAUCGUUGGAGAUGCAUUUUAUGUAUCAUUUUGUAAUGUUGUGUCUGAGAAAAUGAACCAUAUUGUAAUGGAUGAACUAUUUAGACGUGAAAUUAAUUAAUGUGUUAUUGUUUGGUUAUGGC